UUCUCCCCGAAAUGCAUUUAGGUGCAGCGUCGUGUGUUUCUUGCCGGAGGUAGAGCACUGGAUAGGCGAUGGGCCCUACCGGGUUACUGACCUUAGCCAAACUCCGAAUGCCGGUAAGUGAGAGCGCGGCAGUGAGACUGUGGGGGAUAAGCUCCAUGGUCGAGAGGGAAACAGCCCAGAGCAUCGACUAAGGCCCCUAAGCGUACGCUAAGUGGGAAAGGAUGUGGAGUCGCAGAGACAACCAGGAGGUUGGCUUAGAAGCAGCCACCCUUGAAAGAGUGCGUAAUAGCUCACUGGUCUAGUGAUUCCGCGCCGACAAUGUAGCGGGGCUCAAGCGUACCGCCGAAGUCGUGUCAUUGCAGCAUAACGCCCAACGGCGGCUGUGAUGGGUAGGGGAGCGUCGUCUGCCGGGUGAAGCAGCACCGGAAGGUAGUUGUGGACGGUUGACGAGUG
rnacentral:ncRNA from 1 species